UUCCAGAGUAUCUGCCCUACUGAGGAGAGGUUUGAUCUGCUGGAGUAUGUCAGAAACUCCCCCUAGUGAUGACUAUCUACUCGUUCCCCCUGACAGUCAUGUCACUAGUGACAGUGUUUGGUGCCAUCAUUCUGGCGCUGAUGUCACGCAUCAUUGUGCAAGAGAUGAGCUUUAUGCGGGUCACGACCACCCCCACUCCAUAGUGGACUCUUCCACUACUUCCGGAGUCACCAUCACAUAAUAAAUUGUCAUGCAAUAAAUUUCAUAAUGUUUAUGCAAAGCUACAUUCUCUUUCCAUAUCAAAUGUUGGUAUUUUAAUUGAUAUAUAGUUAAUUAUUGAUCAUGUGUACAUAAUAUUUCUUUGUCAAGUUAGUGCUCAUCUUGCACUGCAUUCUGUAGACAGGUAUGUCAAAUGAAGAUUAAAAUCAUAUAGUAGUGGACUCUUCCACUUGUUUCCAAGUCACCAUCACAUAAUGCAUUGUACAAUUGUGAAGCAAUAAAUUUUAUAAUGUUUAAUGGAGCUGCAUUUACAAUGAAUUUUGCUUAGCAUAUCAGAUGUUGUUGUUAAAAAUGUGUAUCAAUAUUCAGUUGUACAUAACAUAUCUGUACAUGUAUUUUGUUUGCAAGUGCUCAUCUUGUAGUCUGUAGACAUUUAUGUCAAAUAAGGACUCAAAGAUUUUUACAUUUUAUUAAUCUAUAAUAUUAAUGCUGGCUAAUUCCAAAUGCCAAGCUAUAACGUUGCAAGACAUAGUGAAGUCUACUACUAAGUACCAGUCUCAUUUAAAAUUCAUUCAAUCUUUGUUUUUGUUAUGCGCAUGCUUUACUGAGUAAUGCAAACUAAUGCCAUUCAAAAGAGACUGCAAAAUAUAUCAAAUGUUGAGAAGUUUUAUUUGUUUCAUUGUAGGGACAUAUAAACAUAAGGUUGUGUUUUGAUGGUUGUCUUACACUGACUGGGCCUCCAUGAAAUGGGCAGAGUCAGAAACUUUAACAGCUACUGUGGAUUGCCCCUAAUAACUUGCAUUUAAAAUUAUUCAGUAUACAUUGUGCAUGUAUAUGCAGAAUUCCUGAUUGUAAAAGACUUAUUUGAGUACUUAAAACAGUUGCAAUGAAGUAGAUGAAUUAUGAUUAUCAUCAUGCCAUUCUGAUACUAAGUACUAGCAAAUGUUAUUGUUCCAAACCUCGGCAAUUUUGUCAGGUUCCUUUUUGUAAA